rnacentral:rRNA from 1 species
GGGAGUACGCCGGCAACGGUGAAACUCAAAGGAAUUGACGGGGGCCCGCACAAGCGGAGGAACAUGUGGUUUAAUUCGAUGAUACGCGAGGAACCUUACCCGGGCUCAAACGACACAGGAACGGCCCUGAAAGGGGUCGGCUCUACGGAGCCUGUGUCGAGGUGCUGCAUGAUUGUCGUCAGCUCGUGCCGUGAGGUGUCGGCUUAAGUGCCAUAACGAGCGCAACCCCCAUCGACAGUUGCUAACAGGUUAGGCUGAGGACUCUGUCGAGACUGCCGGCGCAAGCUGCGAGGAAGGCGGGGAUGACGUCAAAUCAGCACGGCCCUUACGUCCGGGGCGACACACGUGUUACAAUGGCAGGUACAGCGGGAAGCCACCUGGCGACAGGGAGCGGAACCCGAAAGCCUGUCUCAGUUCGGAUUGGAGUCUGCAACCCGACUCCAUGAAGCUGGAUUCGCUAGUAAUCGCGCAUCAGCCACGGCGCGGUGAAUACGUUCCCGGGCCUUGUACACACCGCCCGUCAAGCCAUGGAAGCCGGGGGUGCCUGAAGUGCGCUGCCGCAAGGAGCGCCCUAGGGUAAAACCGGUGACUGGGGCUAAGUCGUAACAAGGUAACCGU